rnacentral:lncRNA from 1 species
CUCUUCCUGCGGGCGCGCCAGAAAGACAGGCGCCAUCUCAGAGCUUCCUGCAGGACUCAGCAUCUGCACUACCCUGGGAUUCAGACACCAUUAUGAGGAUGCAGUGCUGAGUAAGACUGGCAAAGUUCCUGACAUCUGGUGCAGAGGAGGUAAAAUGAACAAUCGGUUAUUCUCCCUUUCCUGGCAGAGGAGUUUCUUUGAAAUUUAUCAUCAGAAAAUCCACUCAACAACCAGUUCAAUCUACAUAAGAAAGAUAAGAUGUAAUCAAACUACCCCCCAAAUUGUCUAAAGACCAGAAUGAAAAGAAGAUCUCAGCAUAUCCACUGUGGCUACUAGGCCAUAUUAAACAUCAAUUUUUGAUUUUCCGGAAUGAGAAGAAAGGUUGAAUCAUCAAAGAUGACUAUGGGGGCUUGCACUAAGAGUCUACAAAGUCUUCAUUAUUGGAAAGUUUCUAAGAGAUACAAAACCGGAAGAUAUGCUCUUUGGUUGUAUUCUCUAAAAGCAAACCCUUAGGAAAGGGUUCAGGUGAAAGCAAUUCAUCUGGGGAGGAAAUCCCAGGCAAGACAAUGAAGAAGUCAGAGAAUGAGACUAGGAAAUGAGGAAAGGUAAUAUAGAAAAUGUGAAUGAGCAGGUUGCUGCUGUGGGCAUCGGGGUCUCAUUUUUGCAGAAGACUCUUUGAGAGACUACAUAGAACAAUCCUUACAAUCGGCCCAACAAAGCAUAAGGAAGCAGGGUAUUUAUCCACCAACUCAUGAUGUGAUGGCUGUUCUUGGGGAUUUAACUCUCCACUUCAGGCCUGGCCCUCCGUCAUGUUAGCCACGCAGGCUCUUAUGGGCCACAGAAAGACCUCAAGAGUUCAGAAGCCAGCUGCAUGCAAGGGAAUGGUACAAAAACUUCAGAUGACAUCCUGCAUAGGCCAAAGGAAUCUGCCAACAACAUCUGUCAAAGCUAUCUACAAUACAGUACGUUGUAUCAUGUUUUCCCAAGCAUGAGACAAGUACCACCAGUGGUUCAGGAGAUGAUUUUAGGUGGUUCUGGGUCAUGGAAUUAAAUAACAUUGAAUUACAUGGUUGGGGAGUUCUUUUCUUUUCACUUCUCUCUCAAUCCUUCUGACUAUCCAAAGACAACCUCUCUUUUUGGUACUAAUUAUGGCUUUAUUAUACCUCCAAUCCUUGCAAGCUUCCAGUUUAAGCAGAGAGUCAGCCUUGGGCCCCAGAUAUUUACUGACAACCACAUUUGGCCAAAAUGUGCUGACAUGUUCCUCUUUUCAUUGUAUUUACAUUUCCAAUUACCUUCAAUCCAUGGCAAGUGGUAUUAUUUCUUCAUUACUAGCAACAAUGCAAAGUUUGCUUUUUGAAUAAAUUUAUUUCAUCUUUUAAGUCAGCCAAUUUAAAG